GACGAACGCUGGCGGCGUGCUUAACACAUGCAAGUCGAACGAUGAACCCGGAGCUUGCUCCGGCGGAUUAGUGGCGAACGGGUGAGUAACACGUGAGUAACCUGCCCUUGACUCUGGGAUAACUGCUAGAAAUGGUAGCUAAUACCGGAUACGACCCUCGGCGGCAUCGCCAGGGGGUGGAAAGAAUUUCGGUCAAGGAUGGACUCGCGGCCUAUCAGCUAGUUGGUGAGGUAACGGCUCACCAAGGCGACGACGGGUAGCCGGCCUGAGAGGGUGACCGGCCACACUGGGACUGAGACACGGCCCAGACUCCUACGGGAGGCAGCAGUGGGGAAUAUUGCACAAUGGGCGCAAGCCUGAUGCAGCAACGCCGCGUGAGGGAUGACGGCCUCGUU
rnacentral:rRNA from 1 species